GCUUUCGUGGUGUAGUGGUCAGCACUCUGGGCGCGUAUUCCAAAGGUCCGUGGUUCAAGUCCUGGCGAAGGCG
rfam:Stegodyphus mimosarum contig40159, whole genome shotgun sequence.